rnacentral:rRNA from 1 species
CUUACCAAGGCUAUGAUGUUUAGGGGUCCUGAGAGGGUGGUCCCCCACACUGGUACUGAGACACGGACCAGACUCCUACGGGAGGCAGCAGUGAGGAAUAUUGGUCAAUGGGCGCAAGCCUGAACCAGCCAUCCCGCGUGCAGGAAGACGGCCCUAUGGGUUGUAAACUGCUUUUCCAGGGAGAGAAACUUACGCACGUGUUGCGUGACUGACGGUACCCUGGGAAUAAGCAUCGGCUAACUCCGUGCCAGCAGCCGCGGUAAUACGGAGGAUGCAAGCGUUAUCCGGAUUCAUUGGGUUUAAAGGGUGCGUAGGCGGGCUAUUAAGUCAGUGGUGAAAUCCUGCAGCUUAACUGCAGAACUGCCGUUGAUACUGAUAGUCUUGAGUUUGGUUAAGGUAGGCGGAAUGUGUAAUGUAGCGGUGAAAUGCUUAGAUAUUACACAGAACACCAAUUGCGUAGGCAGCUUACUGAGCCGACACUGACGCUGAGGCACGAAAGCGUGGGGAUCAAACAGGAUUAGAUACCCUGGUAGUCCACGCCGUAAACGAUGAUUACUCGCUGUUGGCGAUACACUGUCAGCGGCUAAGCAAAAGC